UGCAAGUCGAGCGGUCCUUUCGGGGAUAGCGGCGACGGGUGAGUAACACGUAGGCAACCUGCCCAACAGACUGGGAUAACUAACGGAAACGUUAGCUAAUACCGGAUAAGCAAGGGGAUCACCUGAUUCGCUUGGAAAAAGGGAGCAAUCUCUUACUGAUGGAUGGGCCUGCGGCGCAUUAGCUAGUUGGUGAGGUAAUGGCUCACCAAGGCGACGAUGCGUAGCCGACCUGAGAGGGUGAACGGCCACACCGGGACUGAGACACGGCCCAGACUCC
rnacentral:rRNA from 1 species